AACGAACGCUGGCGGCAGGCCUAACACAUGCAAGUCGAGCGCGCCCUUCGGGGUGAGCGGCGGACGGGUUAGUAACGCGUGGGAAUAUACCCAGAUCUAAGGAAUAGCCACAGGAAACGGUGAGUAAUACCUUAUACGCCCUUCGGGGAAAGAUUUAUCGGAUUUGGAUUAGCCCGCGUUAGAUUAGAUAGUUGGUGGGGUAAUGGCCUACCAAGUCUACGAUCUAUAGCUGGUUUUAGAGGAUGAUCAGCAACACUGGGACUGAGACACGGCCCAGACUCCUACGGGAGGCAGCAGUGGGGAAUAUUGCACAAUGGCGAAAGCCUGAUGCAGCGACGCCGCGUGAACGAUGAAGGCUUUCGAGUCGUAAAGUUCUGUUC
rnacentral:rRNA from 1 species